GCUGGGCGUGGUGGCGCAUGCCUGUAGUCCCAGCUACCUGGGAAGCUGAGGCACAAGAAUCACUUGAACCCAGGAGGCAGGGGCUGCAGUGAGCCAAGAUUGCACCACUGUACUCCAGCCUGGGUGACAGAGUGAGACUCUGUCUCAA
rnacentral:SRP_RNA from 1 species